GGGUUGUAAACUUCUUUUAUACGGGAAUAAAGUGAGGCACGCGUGCCUUUUUGUAUGUACCGUAUGAAUAAGGAUCGGCUAACUCCGUGCCAGCAGCCGCGGUAAUACGGAGGAUCCGAGCGUUAUCCGGAUUUAUUGGGUUUAAAGGGAGCGUAGGCGGACGCUUAAGUCAGUUGUGAAAGUUUGCGGCUCAACCGUAAAAUUGCAGUUGAUACUGGGUGUCUUGAGUACAGUAGAGGCAGGCGGUAUUCGUGGUGUAGCGGUGAGAUGCUUAGAUAUCACGAAGAACUCCGAUUGCGAAGGCAGCUUGCUGGACUGUAACUGACGCUGAUGCUCGAAAGUGUGGGUAUCAAACAGGAUUAGAUACCCUGGUAGUCCACACAGUAAA
rnacentral:rRNA from 1 species